UACGUAGGGGGCAAGCGUUGUCCGGAAUCAUUGGGCGUAAAGAGCGUGUAGGCGGUCCGGUAAGUCGGCUGUGAAAGUCCAGGGCCCAACCCUGGGAUGCCGGUCGAUACUGCCGGACUAGAGUUCGGAAGAGGCGAGUGGAAUUCCCGGUGUAGCGGUGAAAUGCGCAGAUAUCGGGAGGAACACCUAUGGCGAAGGCAGCUCGCUGGGACGUUACUGACGCUGAGACGCGAAAGCGUGGGGAGCAAACAGG
rnacentral:rRNA from 1 species